CUAUCCUUAAAAUCAGUAUGUCGUGGUGGAAGAGUUGGUAGCCCUGCACAUGUCCAUCCGAGAAUUACGUCACAGGUGGGCACAAGCCGCAGUCAUUCGCCGGCGCCUCCCUGCAGUCUCAGGUAGCAGCGGCGAUGCGUAGUGCUGUUGCUUUGUACUGAGUGAGCGUGAAAGAACCCUCGUGACGAUAUAUGGUGAUGGACGUGUGGGCCUUUACGUUGUGGAAAUAGAAGAUCUCUCGAUGGACGGUACUUGGAACUGAAUCCUGAGACGAAUCAUCUUGGCAGCGCGAGACUCAAGGGACGAGGCUGAUAUGAUUGUGUGUGGCGUAAAUAUUUCACGCCGCUGCCUCUAUGUAUUUACAGAACAAGCCAGCGCCAAGUAAACGAGUUGGGACGAAAAGACCCCGUGACGCAGUGGGCCUCUGGUCUCGUGGAGAGUGAUCUGCCGCAAGAGGUAGGAUGCACGUGAGUUUCGUCCUGGCCACGGAAUUCCGGAUAAGGCAGGGAGAGUGGCUGAUCAGCCAGGACUGAGUAGAAGAUGCUGAGUCUCGAGAGUGAACUGUGUGGUGCAGGACUGUAUCGGUCAUGCAGUCUCUUUUAACGAGAGACACAUCGUGGAGGAGGCUGGCGAGUGCUCUCAACACACGUGACGGAGCGGCGCCAUGGUAACUGUCACCGUGGCCAGGAAGUCUCUUGUGCUGAACACUGCAAUGUUGUGUUAUCAAGACUGUGUAUUGGUGCAGCGCAUACAGUCGGAUCACUAAGCGUGUUGUAGUGAUGAGACUAUGGCGAAUGAUUAUUGAUCGUUAGAAAAAAACUAUAGGUUUGAUAAUAAUUCAAUGCUUGAGUUACACUAACACUCCAUCACUACCGCCACCACCACCGCCAUAACCACCAUCACCACCGCCAUCACCACCGCCACCACCGCCGCUACUAAGACCUGGCGGCCCUGCUCGGUCCCUUCCACGACUCGCAGUGAGAGAGAGAGAAGUCGAGGUGCGGUGGUCUCGUGGCGGAAGGCUGAAGGAGGCGGUGAAGGAGUGAAGGUGUGAAGUGUGCAGCUUCCACUUCAUCAUCCCAUGAACAGCCCACAGGAAUCUCUACCAGCACCUGGUUAUUAAACAGUGUUGUCACGCCAGGCCCAAUGUACUCCAUUGCAAUCAGGGAGUCAAGCUUCACCAGGAAAAGAGGCAGAGCGUCACCACCUUCAAGCCCCACAAGAGAUAUUAAGUAUCAUUGGGACAAAGCAAUCAGGGAAGAGUCAAGUUGCAGUAAGAAGAGUGUGUCAAGAAUUUCAAGCAGGAAGAACACGUAAAAUUCCCUUCAAGUCAUGGCGGGACCGACAGGCAACCUUCAACACUUGUGGAGGCACGAGAGCUGCAGGCAGUUUCACAAAGAAGAGGUUGCUCCUCACUCAAGUUGACACAAGGACACAAGAAUUGGCAAGUGUUGUUGCUCCCAGGCCCUGCUGCAAGAGUUCUCCAGUCCACUCCAGUCUGGGAAGGAAGAAUGUAGCAAGUCCCUCUCUUCUGUACUCAACAACCACCACCACCACCUUCAUUCAGGCUUGGGAUAAGUUUUGUACAUUCCAGCACUUCAGUAAUAAGGAAAAAAAGUGCCAUGUUUAUAUUAUUGUUGUGUAUUUAUUCACUUAACAUUCACAUUAAAACAAUAAACAUUCAGUAUACCAUCUUGAACAUAA